rnacentral:rRNA from 1 species
CCUACGGGUGGCAGCAGUGAGGAAUAUUGGUCAAUGGACGCAAGCCUGAACCAGCCAUGCCGCGUGCAGGAAGACUGCCCUAUGAGUUGUAAACUGCUUUUGUACGAGGGUAAACGCAGAUACGCGUAUCUGUCUGUAAGUACUGUACGAAUAAGGAUCGGCUAACUCCGUGCCAGCAGCCGCGGUAAUACGGAGGAUUCAAGCGUUAUCCGGAUUUAUUGGGUUUAAAGGGAGCGUAGGUGGGCUGUUAAGUUAGUGGUGAAAUCCUGAGGCUCAACUUCGGAAUUGCAUUUGAUACUGUUCGGCUAGAGUGUAGUUGAGGUAGGCGGAAUGUAUGGUGUAGCGGUGAAAUGCUUAGAGAUCACGCAGAACACCGAUUGCGAAGGCAGCUUACUAAGCUACUACUGACGUUGAGGCACGAAAGCGUGGGGAGCAAACAGGAUUAGAUACCCGAGUAGUC